CAUGCUUAACACAUGCAAGUCGAACGUGUAACGAUGGUAGCUUGCUACCAGGCGACGAGUGGCGUGGCGGGUGAGUAAUACAUAGGAAUCUGCCUAGUAGUGGGGGACAACCUGGUGGAAACCCAGGCUAAUACCGCAUACGCCCUUCGGGGGAAAGGCUUCG
rnacentral:rRNA from 1 species